CAGCUGGGCAUAAAGCCUAUUGCUAAGGAGAUCCUCAUCCAGCUCGAUUUUUUUAGAGAGCAGCAGUUGCAGACUUCACCCCAGACCCAACACAUUUUGGGCUCCCACUUUCAACUAUUGAGGAGCUACAAUGUUUGUAGGAGACAUUAAAUAAUCCAGAUGAGAAGAAGAAUUUGACUGUUUUUCCUGGAAUGGUCGGAGACAAGACUCUUAAAGACACCGUGGGGUGGGUCCUGAAAAAAACAAUGAACUCUUCGUGGCGAGACUCAUCAAUUGAAGUGGGGUCAACUGAAAGCCUGCAUUCAAAGGGCUCACUUUGAAAAGUGUGGUUUUGGAUGCAGUCCGCCGGAAUGCCCUGACCAAAGAUAACACAGAAAAGGAGAUAGAGCUCCUCAUCACCAGGUGGUCGGUGCUAGCAUAUGACAGGGAUGGUGGCCGAAUCCAGACAAUAGACAGACA